AAGUCGUAACAAGGUUUCCGUAGGUGAACCUGCGGAAGGAUCAUUAUUGAAUGAAUUUGGAGUCGGUUGUCGCUGGCUGUCUUUGCAGCAUGUGCACGCCUUCUCUUUUCAUCCACACACCCCUGUGCACUUGUGAGACUGGAGACCGUAAAAAGUCUUCAGUCUGCUAAAUUUACAUACAAACUCAUUUAAUUGAACUGAAUGUACUUGAUGUAACGCAUCAUUAAACUAAGUUUCAACAACGGAUCUCUUGGCUCUC
rnacentral:misc_RNA from 1 species